rnacentral:lncRNA from 10 species
CAGAAAAGGGUGUGUGGAAUCGAUUUAAGUUUAACCUGACAGUACAUGUCUUGAAGGAGGUCUUUUAUGAACUUGAAACACAUCGGCUAGGUCUUCAUCCUCACCUGCACUGGAAUUACCUACUUAAGAAAAACAAACUAAUGAUACACAAAGAAGCACUUAUAAAUUACAUAUCUUCAUGCCGGAAACACUAUUUGGAUGCGUGUGGAUGAUUCUGAAAAUUGAUAUAGUCUGAAGGAUGUAUAUGUACAUUUAUAUAUAGACACAAUAUAACCCAAUUGAUAUUCCAUUGAAGCUUUGUAUUCAUUUCAUCAGAUUAUCGUGUACCUAAAUUAUGUGUGGAAAUUUAUACUUAGUAGAUUCUCAAAUAUUAUUGGCUAAACUGCAUUUCACAGGAAAUGUAUUUCUCAGGAGUGUUUUCUCAUUGUUUUCCUUAAAAAACAAUGCUGGCACCCAGCAAAAUAAUAAAAUUAAAAAAUAAAAUAAAAUGCAAAUACUGCCUAAGGGAA